CCGGCGACCGGCGCACGGGUGAGUAACACGUAUGCAACCUGCCCUCUUCAGGGGGACAACCUUCCGAAAGGGAGGCUAAUCCCGCGUAUAUCGGUUUCGGGCAUCCGAGAUCGAGGAAAGAUUCAUCGGAAGAGGAUGGGCAUGCGGCGCAUUAGCUAGACGGCGGGGUAACGGCCCACCGUGGCGACGAUGCGUAGGGGUUCUGAGAGGAAGGUCCCCCACACUGGCACUGAGACACGGACCAGACUCCUACGGAAGGCAGCAG
rnacentral:rRNA from 1 species